UACGUAGGGACCAAGCGUUGUUCGGAUUUACUGGGCGUAAAGGGCGCGUAGGCGGCGUGUUAAGUCACUUGUGAAAUCUCUGAGCUUAACUCAGAACGGUCAAGUGAUACUGAUAUGCUAGAGUGCAGAAGGGGCAACCGGAAUUCUUGGUGUAGCGGUGAAAUGCGUAGAUAUCAAGAGGAACACCUGAGGUGAAGACGGGUUGCUGGGCUGACACUGACGCUGAGGCGCGAAAGCUAGGGUAGCAAACGGG
rnacentral:rRNA from 1 species